AAAUCAGCUAUAGUGCCCCUUCGGGGGCUGGCGACUGCCAUCAAUCUGUGUCUGGAAGUGCCCCUACCAAGGGAGUACCACCAGCAGCUCGUUGCAUUCGUAGUUCACAGGUCAAACGAUAGCGGCCAUUUCGGUGGUUGAGAUAUGAUCGGCCUCCAGCGUCACCUAGCUGGGGAACAUUGCGGAACCUGCGGAAGGAUCAU
rnacentral:rRNA from 1 species